UGAGGAAUAUUGGUCAAUGGGCGCGAGCCUGAACCAGCCAAGUAGCGUGCAGGACGACGGCCCUAUGGGUUGUAAACUGCUUUUAUGCGGGGAUAAAGGAGUCCACGUGUGGAUUUUUGCAGGUACCGCAUGAAUAAGGACCGGCUAAUUCCGUGCCAGCAGCCGCGGUAAUACGGAAGGUCCGGGCGUUAUCCGGAUUUAUUGGGUUUAAAGGGAGCGUAGGCCGCGUUUUAAGCGUGUUGUGAAAUGUAGGCGCCCAACGUCUGCAUCGCAGCGCGAACUGGAACGCUUGAGUACGCGCAACGUUGGCGGAAUUCGUCGUGUAGCGGUGAAAUGCUUAGAUAUGACGAAGAACUCCGAUUGCGAAGGCAGCUGACGGGAGCGGCACUGACGCUUAAGCUCGAAGGUGCGGGUAUCAAACAGGAUUAGAUACCCUGGUAGUCCGCACAGUAAACGAUGGAUGCCCGCUGUGUGCCAUUUAUGGUACGCGGCUAAGCGAAAGCGUUAAGCAUCCCACCUGGGGAGUACGCCGGCAACGGUGAAACUCAAAGGAAUUGACGGGGGCCCGCACAAGCGGAGGAACAUGUGGUUUAAUUCGAUGAUACGCGAGGAACCUUACCCGGGCUUGAAUUGCAGAUGUUUAUAUCAGAGAUGAUAUAUUCCCUUCGGGGCAUUUGUGAAGGUGCUGCAUGGUUGUCGUCAGCUCGUGCCGUGAGGUGUCGGCUUAAGUGCCAUAACGAGCGCAACCCCUUUUUUUAGUUGCCAUCAGGUAGUGCUGGGCACUCUAGAGAUACUGCCACCGUAAGGUGUGAGGAAGGUGGGGAUGACGUCAAAUCAGCACGGCCCUUACGUCCGGGGCUACACACGUGUUACAAUGGGUGGUACAGAGAGUUGGUUGUACGCAAGUGCAAUCUAAUCCUAAAAACCAUUCUCAGUUCGGACUGGGGUCUGCAACCCGACCCCACGAAGCUGGAUUCGCUAGUAAUCGCGCAUCAGCCAUGGCGCGGUGAAUACGUUCCCGGGCCU
rnacentral:rRNA from 2 species